ACUACGGGUGGCCGCAGUGAGGAAUAUUGGUCAAUGGGCGCGAGCCUGAACCAGCCAAGUAGCGUGAAGGAUGACUGCCCUACGGGUUGUAAACUUCUUUUAUAAAGGAAUAAAGUGAGGCACGUGUGCCUUUUUGUAUGUACUUUAUGAAUAAGGAUCGGCUAACUCCGUGCCAGCAGCCGCGGUAAUACGGAGGAGCCGAGCGUUAUCCGGAUUUAUUGGGUUUAAAGGGAGCGUAGAGGGGUUGUUAAGUUCGUUGUGAAAGUUUGCGGCUCAACCGUAAAAUUGCAAUUGAUACUGGCAGUCUUGAGGACAGUGGAGGUAGGCGGAAUUCGUGGUGUAGCGGUGAAAUGCUUAGAUAUCACGAAGAACUCCGAUUGCGAAGGCAGCUUACUAAACUGCCACUGACAUUGAUGCUCGAAAGUGUGGGUAUCAAACAGGAUUAGAUACCCUUGUAGUC
rnacentral:rRNA from 1 species